rnacentral:rRNA from 1 species
AUUGAACGCUGGCGGCAGGCCUAACACAUGCAAGUCGAAUGGUAACAGGAAACAGCUUGCUGUUUCGCUGACGAGUGGCGGACGGGAGAGUAAUGUCUGGGAAACUGCCUGAUGGAGGGGGAUAACUACUGGAAACGGUAGCUAAUACCGCAUAACGUCGCAAGACCAAAGAGGGGGACCUUCGGGCCUCUUGCCAUCAGAUGUGCCCAGAUGGGAUUAGCUAGUAGGUGGGGUAACGGCUCACCUAGGCGACGAUCCCUAGCUGGUCUGAGAGGAUGACCAGCCACACUGGAACUGAGACACGGUCCAGACUCCUACGGGAGGCAGCAGUGGGGAAUAUUGCACAAAGGGCGCAAGCCUGAUGCAGCCAUGCCGCGUGUAUGAAGAAGGCCUUCGGGUUGUAAAGUACUUUCAGCGGGGAGGAAGGGAGUAAAGUUAAUACCUUUGCUCAUUGACGUUACCCGCAGAAGAAGCACCGGCUAACUCCGUG